UCCAUCUCUCACCGCUUUGUCCUGUGUUAAGCUAGUCCAAUGAAUACUCCUCUUCCAGGGACUGACACUCUAUCUCCCUGGCUAAAGCUGAGAUGAUCCAAUCUAGGAAGCUAAAAACUUCAAUCACCUAGAACAAGUUCUGCAUCAGGUGACCUAAGGGACCGCCCGUCAAAAAUGACGAAAUAUUUUGAAAAAAGUCGAUUUCUAGUGAAUCAACCAUCGAAUACUUCAUGGUCAUGGCAAUCUACUCUCGAAGUUUCAGAGCAAUAUAUUGAUUCUAACUAUUUUUCUACAAUAUUUUGCUAAAAUAAGUUAUUAUUUUGACAAUCACACUCUUAUUUCCCUAUUAUUAGGUUAUACAGCGUAUAAUAUAAAUAUACAAGGAAUUAUAUACGUAUACAUAUAUCAUGAAUAAAAAUAAUGUUUAGCAACUCGUCCACUGCUAUACGGUAGCGAGUAGGCGAAGGAGCUUUGGAAGUCAGUGCCUUGAAGGCUAUCGUAGCAGACGGUCGUCUGCGUCGUCUGCUCGCGUGACGUUUCUUGUGUUUCGUCUGCUACUGUCACCGUUCAUCGGGCGAUUUUUUAGAUUGAUCUGGAUUCUCUACACUGCAAAUCAUUUCUGCAAUGCCCAGGAAGAAAGGCUACAUCAAGAGGAUGGCCGAAGCAGUUGAGAAAGCGAGAGAGGUGAAAAGGAGGAAACUGGAAGAGCGACGAGCGUCAGCCAUUUUAACUCCACCACCAACAGCUGAUCCUCCCCAGCCAUCAACGAGCCAUAUGACCGCCACCACACCACUGCCUCCCUCCACCACUGGUGCUCCAACACAAACUCUCACCAGUUCAAUGCGUAGAAAGAUCAGUAUUAAAAAAAAAAGAAAAAGAAGGUGUACAAUAGCUGCUCUGCUGGAGCAUACUAGUCGCCGUGGGAUGUGUCAACUUUAAAUGCCAUUUUCUCAAAAAUUUUGCAUUCAGCAGAUGGGAGAAGAGUCCAGGUAUCAAGAAUGCCCUAAAAUAAAAUUUUCAAUUAGUUA